UACGGAGGGGGCAAGCGUUGUCCGGACUUACUGGGCGUAAAGGGUGCGUAGGCGGUUGCAUGCGUCCGCGCUGAAAGUCCCGAGGCUCAACCUCGGGGCGCGUGCGGAUACGAUGCGACUUGAGGCUCGGAGAGGGUGGGAGAACUCCUGGUGUAGUGGUGAAAUGCGUAGAGAUCAGGAAGAAUACCCGUGGCGCAAGCGCCCACCCUG
rnacentral:rRNA from 1 species